UCUGAAAUACUGCUUAUAGGAUUUCUUCUCGCAUAUAAGCUGCUCUUUUGCUUCCUGAAUAGAAACAAUGGAUCGACUUUGUAAACAGAACUAUGGUUCUGAUGUAAUGCCCCUCCCCCUUUUACUUCUCAACCUGUCAUCCUUUUCAGGUAGUUUAAUGGUGACAUGUAUGUCUGUAGAAUGGCAUGCACAAGAUCAGUGUGUAUGUUCUCCAUGUUCUGUGUGUAAAUGACGGCGAUUCAAUUCUCAGACUCUUUAUAUCUUUGACAUCAUAUUUCUAUGGAGUUAUCAUUAAUUCUCUUCUGUCUUAUUAUGCAAGGAAAGGAGUAAUCUGAACUGAAUUCAUACUCUGCUAACAGGCAUCUGGGAGGUGUAAAGCUUUCUUACUUAGGCUUGACAAGGCAUCAAUGAUUGGUGCUAUACCGAUUAUAUUUCUCAAUACUAGCCACUAUCCAAGUCGCAUCCACCACCUGUCUGGGCUGUCACCUGCACAUCCUCUUUGCAUUCCCACGUCAAUGCCUCUGUAGCAGCAUGCUUGAGUUGUCACCCUCCCUGGUAAUUGAAUUUGCACUUUGAAAUUUUAGCCGGUGCACUGUUGGAGCACUUAAUGUGGUAACUGCAUGCAAUGUUUGAAGCCAAACUGAGAAGGAAGCGGACUCGGACAUGAGCGUGUUGCGAUUAGCUCCAGUGUGUAUCUUCUACAAACCGCAGAAGGCCAUGUAGCGCUACCUCUACAUAAGGUUUUGUGUUCAACCCAACGUGAGUUUAGUGGUGAGCAUCAGCUAAUUAAUCCUAACUUAUUCACAAGUACUAUUGAGUGGUAAUGUACUCUAACUCAGUUCACAUUCAUGUCGGAAACUUUGAUGUCGUACCAGAUAUAUAACAAAGGUACGUACACUUUCCUGAGAAAGUAUAACAACUACAUCAUUGGAAAUGGAUAUUGUUGACAUACCAAUAUUAUAGAGUUGUGAUGGUGGUUGGGUUGACAUACCAACAUCACCCACUUUUGAUUAAACCUUUUGAAUUCCAAUACCAACAUUAUAGAGUUAGGAUGGUGGUUGGGUUGAUCGUAGCAUUGGUGUCAGUCCAAGAGCAUCAUGGAUUUCUCACUUUUAUUGCUGACGAACUGCCUAAUAAAAUGAGGAGUUUGGUACUUUUCAGUUCGAACAAUACAGACCAUAUUCUUUUGGGGUGAGAAAUGAACAUAGAUUGAAUUCCAUGCUUGCUGCUUAUAGCCUUGCUCUGGCUAGAGUGCUAAUAAAAUGAAUAGUUUGGUGCUUUUCAGUGCGAAUAGUACAGAUAAAAAAAUUCGGGUGAGGGCUGAAAUGCAAAUAGAGUGGGAGGCUCUUUCAUAAAAGUAGUUAGGUCUGCCAAUAGCUUCAGAGUGAUAACUAUAUAACAAUUUGAACAUCUACUGGAAAGGGCUCGAUCUAAAGUACAUGCGUGGUGUGAAAAGAAAUUGUCUUGUGCAGCAAAAAAAAUUAUUCUGAAAUCAGCUAUCAAGACUUGCUGACCUAUUCUAUGAGUUCUUUUUUAACUCGCAACAAGUGCGUUCAAGAAGAUACCUACAGUAAUGUCCAAGUAUUGGUGGGUGGGAUCAUAUAUCGCAGAGAAAUGCAUUGACAGUCAUAUGGGAGAACCUCACAGUUCCUAAUGGCACUGGAUGGCUGGCUUUCUUGUGUUAUAAAAGUUGGAUGAUGCUAUAUUAGCAAAAUAAGCGUGUACAUUAUUGAUCACUCUGGAUAAUUGUUGUGCGAGAUUAUUGAGAGAAUGGUACUAUCCUGGUAACAUUUUGUCGGCAACAUGUACUCGAAUUGCAUUGUGAACUUGCCAUGCUAUUUCUGAAAGGAAUGGAUGUGCUAAAGUUGGGUUUGAUUGUUAAGUUUGGUAAUGGUUUGUUCAGCUUUGGCUGGAUAGUCAGGAGCAGCCAUCGAUGGGUGCUCGCUAAUUUGUGAGUUACAGAGCUACAGGUAUUCGUGCCAAGGUUUUUCCAAGGAUUUUUGGAGCUUCACAUAGAUGUGUAAGAGAGUCCCUUAAUAUUCGGUUUGCUUUUCUUAGACUUUGAUGUAAUCCAUUUUCUGGUCUGACAUUGUCGGAAUCUUUGGAAUAAAACCUUAGACUUUACUUCAAACGAAUGUUAAAUCAUUAACUAAACAAGAGAUAUUAUCAAAGUGAGACUUUACUUCAAACGAAUGUCCUCAAUUGUGAUGAAAGAUCUUUUAUUUUUUUGCCUGAAACAGUCCUAGCCAAAUUUUAUGCUCAAGACGUG